AUUGAACGCUGGCGGAAUGCUUUACACAUGCAAGUCGAACGGCAGCACGGGGCAACCUGGUGGCGAGUGGCGAACGGGUGAGUAAUACAUCGGAACGUGCCCAAUCGUGGGGGAUAACGUAGCGAAAGUUACGCUAAUACCGCAUACGAUCUACGGAUGAAAGCGGGGGAUCGCAAGACCUCGCGAGAAUGGAGCGGCCGAUGUCAGAUUAGGUAGUUGGUGGGGUAAAGGCUCACCAAGCCAACGAUCUGUAGCUGGUAUGAGAGGACGACCAGCCACACUGGGACUGGGACACGGCCCAGACUCCUACGGGAGGCAGCAGUGGGGAAUUUUGGACAAUGGGCGCAAGCCUGAUCCAGCCAUUCCGCGUGCAGGAUGAAGGCCUUCGGGUUGUAAACUGCUUUUGUACGGAACGAAACGGUUCUCUCUAAUACAGGGGGCUAAUGACGGUACCGUAAGAAUAAGCACCGGCUAACUACGUGCCAGCAGCCGCAGUAACAC
rnacentral:rRNA from 1 species